rnacentral:lncRNA from 1 species
AUAACUUGUUGAAAUAAAAGCACAACGAUACUGAACUAUAAGUAUAAAUUAUCCGUUUAUUAUUAGGUCUGCUAGUUACAACAUCCUCUACUCAGCAUGAUUAUAACAACUACUACUAGGACAAAGAAAGAAAAAGUUAAAAGAAAGUGUUAACCACAUAUAGUCGUUAAGCUACUAGCGCACUCUAACAGAUAACAUUAACUAUGUUCAGAAAUUCCUAAUUACAAUGAAAAUCUUUAACUUAAGCGAUAUUCUCAACUGUAAUUUUGCAAUAAGUUGGUUAUUGGGGACUGUGAAAUGAAACAUAUAAAAGUUUUAAUAAACAAUAGUAAGUUUUACAUAUAUUAAAGACUAUCACAUGAUUAUAAGUAUAAAAUAGUUUCUUAACCUGUAUAUUUUUGUCAAAUUUAGAAUUUUAUUUUUAGUUUCCGCUCUGCUUUUCUGAAUGCCAAGAUCAGCUAGUUGUGUCGACAUCCUCAUAUGUAUGAGAAUUUCUCCUCUGACCUCUUAAUUGUGGAAGAUUUUCCUUCCAUAAUUCUAUCAAAGUAUUUACUUUGCCAUCUGACCAGUUUUCUGUUCUUUUUUUGUUCUGGUCAGACAAACUUGCCGCUUUUACAAUAUAAGGGCUGCUUGUACCUUGGCUACCGUUGAUUUCCAUUUCUUUAAAAGGAAUAAAAUCAUCUUAAAUUACAAUUAAAGUUUUAAAUAUGUUAAAUAUAGGUAAACAUAUAUGAAAUUUUUAUCAAACUACUACUUACAAGUUCCCACCAAGCAAUAUAAUUUCCAAAGCGGGAGGGAAAAGAUGGCCGACACUUCCUGUUUCAUCCGGAACUGAUCUUUUUGGUCCCGAAUCAUUGUCCAAUCAGGAAUGAGUUUAUAUUUAAACUUGACAGAUCUUCCUCGUUCAACUUAAAUCGGUAUGCACUAGUGCGUGACGUUUUCAAGAGUUUGGCUAACCUUGUUCCGUUCACAUUUAUGAGAUUAAAGAAGUUUUACCACUUGAACUGGUUUACAUUGCAUAGUGUAAACAGGAUAUUAGGGGUUGGUUGACGAUUGUCCUCUCUAUUGUUUAGUGUGGGAGAGUUUUGGUUUAUGGCUUUUUCUCCUUCAACAGUAACAGGUUCUAUUGUGUUAGAUUUACCUAUAUUAGUUAUUUCUUUAAAUAAAUCAUUAGCAUCAUUUUGUUUUGUUCCUUUGAUUACUGUUUUCCAUUCGUUAUUAGAAUUUUUCCCGAAAUAUUGGGAUUUUUAUUAUUAUUUUCAAUGUUUUGUUUAUCAUUAUUUGUCAUAUUUUGAUUAUUUUGUUGUGUUGGUUCAAUUUUUUUGUCACAAUUAGCUUGAAAGUGUCUUCUUUUCCCAUAUUGAAAACAAGUCACUUUGGGGCAGUUUUUUUCUAGAUGUAAGAGAUGUAACAGUGAGGGACAAGAUUGGAUAAUCCCUUCGUAUUGUAUCAAAAGGACCACGUCGUCAAUUUUAAUAUAAUUGGGAUUGGUUUUUCCAUUAAAAUUGUAAUUUUACGAGUGCCGGAUUUCAUCAUUUUUAACUCUAUGAUAUAUAAUUUGGAAGUUUAUUAUUUUCCCAUAUUUGUUUAGUAUUUCUUUUAAUUGGUAUUCACUCAUUUCCCC